ACGCUCGACACCUACGGGAGGCAGCAGUGGGGAAUAUUGCACAAUGGGGGAAACCCUGAUGCAGCGACGCCGCGUGAGCGAAGAAGUAUUUCGGUAUGUAAAGCUCUAUCAGCAGGGAAGAAACUGACGGUACCUGACUAAGAAGCACCGGCUAAAUACGUGCCAGCAGCAGCGGUAAUCUGAGCGGGCUGGCAAGGC
rnacentral:rRNA from 1 species